CACCGGGACGCCGAAUAGAUUUCCCUAUUUUCUGCGCCAGGGUUUCGGAUAAAGUUGCCGACGGUCGGUGAAGAUAAGGAGAUGACGGUGACGGUGACGGCGGCGGCGGAGGUAACGAAGAAGGUGAUUUGUGUUUCUGUCGGGUGAGAGAGAGCGACGGAGUUUUCGAGGAAAACUGACGGAGGAGAGAGGGGAAGAGAGAAGAGGUGGCCGGAAAAGGAGAGAGGAGGCGAUGGUUGUGGUGGU